rnacentral:rRNA from 1 species
AUUAGGAAUCUUGCACAAUGGGGGAAACCCUGAUGCAGCGACGCCGCGUGCGGGACGAAGGCAUUCGUGUCGUAAACCGCUUUUUUAGGGGAAGAAGAAUGUGACGGUACCCUAAGAAUAAGCCCCGGCUAACUACGUGCCAGCAGCCGCGGUAAUACGUAGGGGGCGAGCGUUGUCCGAAGUUACUGGGCGUAAAGCGCGCGUAGGCGGUCAUUUAAGUCUGGGGUGAAAGGUUCAACGCUUAACGUGAACAGUGCCUUGGAUACUGGGUGACUUGAGUUCGGGAGGGGGCAGUGGAAUUCCAGGUGUAGCGGUGAAAUGCGUAGAUAUCUGGAGGAACACCGAUGGCGAAGGCAGCUGCCUGGCCCAGAACUGACGCUGAGGUGCGAAAGCGUGGGGAGCGAACGG